UGGGGAAUAUUGCACAAUGGGCGGAAGCCUGAUGCAGCGACGCCGCGUGGGGGAUGAAGGCCUUCGGGUUGUAAACUCCUUUCGACAGGGGCGAAGCUUUUGUGACGGUACCUGUAUAAGAAGCACCGGCUAACUACGUGCCAGCAGCCGCGGUAAUACGUAGGGUGCGAGCGUUGUCCGGAAUUACUGGGCGUAAAGAGCUCGUAGGUGGUUUGUCGCGUCGUCUGUGAAAUUCCGGGGCUUAACUCCGGGCGUGCAGGCGAUACGGGCUGACUUGAGUGCUGUAGGGGAGACUGGAAUUCCUGGUGUAGCAGUGAAAUGCGCAGAUAUCAGGAGGAACACCGAUGGCGAAGGCAGGUCUCUGGGCAGUAACUGACGCUGAGGAGCGAAAGCAUGGGUAGCGAACAGG
rnacentral:rRNA from 1 species